GACGAACGCUGGCGGCGUGCCUAAUACAUGCAAGUUGAGCGCUGAAGGUUGGUACUUGUACCCACUGGAUGAGCAGCGAACGGGUGAGUAACGCGUGGGGAAUCUGCCUUUGAGCGGGGGACAACAUUUGGAAACGAAUGCUAAUACCGCAUAAAAACUUUAAACACAAGUUUUAAGUUUGAAAGAUGCAAUUGCAUCACUCAAAGAUGAUCCCGCGUUGUAUUAGCUAGUUGGUGAGGUAAAGGCUCACCAAGGCGAUGAUACAUAGCCGACCUGAGAGGGUGAUCGGCCACAUUGGGACUGGGACACGGCCCAAACUCCUACGGGAGGCAGCAGGAGGGAAUCUUCGGGAAUGGACGAAAGUCGGACCGAGCAACGCCGCGUGAGUGAAGGAGGUUGUCGGAUCGUAAAACUCUGUUGGUAGAGAAGAACGUUGGUGAGAGUGGAAAGCGCAUCAAGUGACGGUAACUACCCAGAAAGGGACGGCUAACUACGUG
rnacentral:rRNA from 1 species